GAUACCCUAUUAUUAAUAGCUUAUAAUGAAUUGGAAAAUACGAACUACAGUUUAAACACCAAAGAAUUUGGCGGUGUCUUAUUCAAUUAGGGGAACCUGUCCUAUAACUCGAUAAUCCAGGAAAUCCUCAACCUAAUUUUGAAACUCAGUUAGUGUACUGCCGUCUAAAGUAUACCUUUAUGAGUGUAUACAAUAAAUUUCUCACAAAUCACACGUCAGGUCAAAGUGCAGCUUAUAAUUAGGUAGAGAUGGGUUACAACCUAUACAAAGAAUUACGGAUCAAAUAUCUAAACUUAUUUGUGAAGGUGGACUUAACAGUAAUUAUAUAUUUAAUGUAAUGAAAAAUAAAUUAAGACAAGUACACAUCGCCC
rnacentral:rRNA from 1 species